GUAUGUGCUAUGCAUGUGGAAGAAAGACGACAAUCAGAGAAAGAAGAGAAGGAUUAAAAAUCUUUACAGUGAGAAGACUGACAAUAGCACGUGGAAGAGGAUAACAUUUCUUUUCACGUACUCCACUACGACCAUAAUACAAGAGGAAAUCUGAUUCCUCUCCAGAUAAUAUGUCAAUGUAAAACAACAAAAGGGGUCCCUUUCAAGGGACCACCCCAGCACAUCAUGUAAUCAACAGAAGAUGUAGUCCUUUAUAAAGGACCACAUAGCUGUAAAAGUAUUCUGUUAAAAGAAAGCAAAGUGCACUAAAAAAAAAGCAAAGCGCACACAAAAACUUACCCACUAAAUAAAGAAGCUUGUCCCUUCACUCAGUACCACCAAAAGCAAAAAAAACUAUGGAUAAACUCAAAAAAUGAACACAUAAGGCUCUCGAUAGACUUUGAAGACCUCUAUAAAAGAGGAAUCCUCACUAACAGAAAGGGCAUCUCUUUUGGUGGAGAAUCAGAGUGUGGUUAGGAGAGAAAUUUUGCCUUCUGAAGUGUGGGGAAUUUUUAAAAUUGUCUUCAUAAGGAAAAAUGUUAGCGAUCAUGGGCUAAGAAAGAAGCUCUCUCAUAAGAGAAGAUAUAUCUUUUACAAGAUCAAUAAAGGAGGGCUUAUCCUUGCAUGGCUUCUGUAGGCACAUAUGUGGAUUCUUUACUUUGGACGAAGUUUCCUACCUGCCAUUCUAAGAGUUCGUCUGUAUUAUAAGGUUUGGGUUUUAUGAAUUUUAUUCCCUGAGAUGCCACACAUCUACAAUUCCUUGAGUGUUUAAGCUAUAUUUGACUUGGUCAUUGUCGCUAAGUCUUCCUACGACAACAACUAAGACUAGGAGGUUAUCACCUUCUAUCAUAUCUUCAUAUCCUCUAGUUUGUAUUCUGAUACAGAGAUAUUUAUAAAAAUCUUUAAUGCUCAUGUAUGUAUUUCGGUGUUAAAUAUAUCAUUUCAGCACCUUUGUCUAGUUUAUUUCCAUACCUCCUAAAUUUGCUUUAGUAGCUUUUUGGAAACAUUGGUCUUGGACCUUAACAAUGCAUUUUGCUCCUGUGUUUUUCCUAUGAAGAGGUUUGAUUUUUACUACAAUUAAACCUAUGUGGAUGAGGCUGUAUCCAUGGGUUUUAAGUGUUAAGAUACCUUCUGCAUUGAGCAAUGGUAUGGUUUUUGUUUGGUUUUCUAGAACAGAUAUUGCUAGUUCUCUAUUGUAAGUAUAUCUGCCCUCUAAUCUUCUCCACUCGUUAUGGUGGUAGAGGGUUUCGGGGUUUAAGACUUGUCGAAGUCCUCUUUCUUGUUGACCUUCUGAAAUUUAAUCUAGUACUUCUAGUUGUAGGUUAUGGCUACUAGACAAAUCUCUGUCUCGUCUUCUUCUAAAAGUUUAACCUAAACAAGAUAGGUGUGAUCUAUUACCCAAAGUGGGAGUUUCUCGUAAGGUACGAAAUCUUCCUAUAAAGGGUGAAAUUGUCAUAGUUUAACUCAUUGCGUAAUCAUGCCUCUUCUCAUAAGAUUGGAUUCUCAAUCUUUUAAAAGAUCAAUAGCAGUUGGCUCUAAUACCAUUUUGAAAUUAAUAGUUGCACUUAAAAGCUUCUGUUUGAUUAACACGCAUGCCUAUUGCAAAAUCCCCUUGCCUCAAAUUUGGUUCUUGAUUAAACCUACUAACUGCGUUUAUGCUAUUUUCCGAUGGCAAAUGUGUAGCCAGUUUGGUACUCUGUGCCCUAGCACUUAGGUUAUCACAAGAAAAAAAAAUGAGACUAAAAAGAUGAGGUACAAUAUGCAAAUUCAUAUAAGCAUUAAACACCAACAAGUAUAUUAGAAAGCAUCUAAGAAAACACUACUUACAGGAUAAGCCCUCCUUUAUUGAUCUUGUAAAAGAUAUACCCUCUCGUAUGAGACAGGUUCUUUUCUUAGCCAAUAACCGCUAACAUUUUCUGUUAGGAAUACAAUUUUAAAAAUUCCUCACACUUCAGAAGGCAAGAUUUCUCUCCUAACCACACUUUGAUUCUUCACCAAAAGAGAUGCCCCUUCUGUUAGUGAGGACUCCUCUUUUAUAUAGGUCUUUGAAGUCUCUCGAGAGCCUUACAUGACCAUUCUUCCAGCUUAUCCACAGCUUUUUUCUGCUUUUAGGCGGUAGUGAGUGAAGGGACAAUCUUCUUUCUUUAGUGGGUAUCUUUUGCAGUGCGCUUUGCUUUCUUUCGACAGAAUACUUUUACAGCUAUGGGGUCCUUUAGAAAGGACUGCAUCUUUGUUGAUCACAUGAUGUGCUGGGUGGUCUCUUGAAAGGGACCCCUUUUGUCGUUUUACGUUGACACACACACACACACACACAACUAUAUAUAUAUAUAUAUAUAUAUAUAUAUAUAUAUAUAUAUAUAUAUCGACUUAACAGAACAAAGUAUCCGCAACAUACUAUCAGUAAUUAAGCAAUAGUCUUCAUGUUAUAACAUAUCUCUAUCUCCAGCAUAAUCAAUCCUCAGAAGUGACUACGAGUAAAUGCAGAUAUACCAAUAGCCCCACCCCCUCUGGAGGGUGAACUGCAGGUCCCGAUGCCGGUUGGUUCUUUUAUAUUUUUAUUUUUGCCAUAAAAUUGGCGUAAGGGAAGAUGCUUUCAUCUCUCUCUCUCUCUCUCUCUCUCUCUCUAUAUAUAUAUAUAUAUAUAUAUAUAUAUAUAUAUCUCAAGAAAAAAUUUAACUUCAACAGGUUAAUAGAAUUCAACAAGACAAAUAGAAUGAACAGUAAUUGAGAAGGAUUCCCUAUCCAUUUAAAGAAAAUUAAAUGGUAAAGGGAUCUCAAAGUUCCUAACAAAAUUUGAGACAAAUUACUAUCUAAACAAAAAAUGAACUAGAACCAUUAACCAGAGAAAAAGAGAGAGUAAACCACUUUAGAUAAUCAUGUAUAGGCAGCAAGUUUUCUCAUUGUAGGUAAUCCAGUCCAUAUAAGCUCCUUAUCCGGGAGGAACAGCAAUGAAUGACAUUGGUCACACUAGAAAAAGGUAGAAUGUAGAAACAGAAAUCAAACCAAAGGAAACAGGAUCUCACGAGCCUGUGGGAUGAAGCAAAUGAGAGUGGCAGGUAUACCUAUACAGUAGGAAAAAGAAGGAAUAAUUCGUGAAUUCACAUGAAGUUCCUGUCUACAGUAAGUCGAUCCAUAAUAAUCAUGAUUAGACAAAAUAGAAGCAUUUAUAUAAGUAAAUAAACAGUCCUACUCGCGAUUAAGUUGCCUCUGUUGGUUUUAAAAUAGGACUUUUUCCAUUAAGUCCAUACAAAAACAUAUAAGAGGAGUUGUCCUGCUCUUUGUGUGUUGUUUCCAUUAUCUAAUGGAAAUAAGUUUGUGGCCGUGCUUCCCAGCAUAUAACCUUCAAAAGCAUCCAAUUUACUAGAACAAUGUCAUUAAAUAGCACCACCCCUUCUAGAGCAGGAUAGCAAAAUCGGAGGUGGGGAUCUAUUGGUGGCUUAGAUAAAGCUAACUAUUUGUCAUGAAAUGUUCAAAAUAUGAGGCUUAAUGUUGCCGCAGAUCAACUUCCACCGUUGUGCUUCAAGUCACUUAGACAAUGCAUUUCUAAGGUGAGGCUAGCCAUCAAAAUAGUUGAUACUCUCAGCAAUGGAACUUGGUUUAGCAACGGCAACUACUGAACCAGUACACCUUUUGCACCUCUAUCCUCACAUUGAUCAUACAGAAAGCAGAAACAUGCCCAGGCAUCCAUCAAGACCAGCUUUUUAAUAUGUGGGGAAAAUAUUAAUUGAUAUUGAGACAAGCCUAACCCUACAAAAUCUCUAUUCUAGACGUCGAUUCCUAUAUUACAAGUCUGCUGGCAAGAGAAUCAGCCACAACAGAGAGCAUUGCAACUGGAUGGGCCUUUUACAUCUUUAUACCUGGUGAGACAACACAAUACUCAACCAAAGGGGCUUGGGUCUCCCAUUUCAUAGAAGGCCUUCGGAAUGGAUUGUUUAUGUAUCAUUAUUUUGAGCUAAAUGAAAAAGGUGGUAAAGGCAUGGCGGAUAGUUAAUGUUAAGGGUUGUCGUAUAGUCUGUCUAUUGAUGAAGUUAGAGUCCACAUGCAAGUGCCUUGUGCGAGAAAAAUACACCUAGGGGGUGCAAAUAUUGGCCAUUCUGGCCGACCAGGGGUAGCGUGGCAUCAGAUCCACCCUCCUAAAACAGAGCCUGCCCUCAGGCUCUGCGCGGUUCUCGCUGGUCAUUCAAAACGGCUAGCAGGGACUUUUGUCCUUUUUAUUUAAAAAAUAUUUGAGAAAAUCAGCACAAAGUCUCAAAUAAGAGGGGUAAAAUGAUCAUUUUGGUAGUAAAAAAUUUGGGGUGUCUACACAUUAUCACCCUACUAGUUGGCCAUGAUCAUUAGUUUUCACUUUAAUGUUCUCACCUAUAGGCAAUUGUGCAACAUUCAAAUGCCUAUUUUGGCCUACUUUAGCCACCUUUUUUGUCAAUAAACAACAAGUUAUGUAAAGUUUUAUAUGCUUUUAAUAAAAUAAAUAACAAGAUAUAUAACAUUUAAUAAAAUUAGUUUUCUUUACUUAUGGAAGAAGAAGAAGCCACCUCUCAAGCCAAAAACCCAUAAAUGUUUCAAGUUAUUUACAUUAUAAUUAUGUCAGAACCAAAACUAUCAAUGCCAUAAAAUAAUGAAGAGAAAUGUAACAAUCAUAUAUUCAUUUUAACUACCAAAAAUAUGGCAAGUCAUACAUGAAACAUUCAAAAAAGAAACAAUAUACAAAAAAAAAAACAGCCUUGACAUCAUUACUCAAAGAAAAAGAAAAUGUACAUGUAGUCAAUCAUCAACUUUCUCCCUUCGGUUGAUGUUUGCCUUCGAAGUAUAAUCAUGUUAACUGUGGUCCCUCUCAUUUUUGCCCUAACCCAAUCUAUGUUACUAGCUUCAUCCGUUGUGGCAUUGUCUUCAACAUCAUGUGGACUACUAUUCCAGCAUAUUUGAAAAUCAUCAACGCUCAUGCCAUUAGCUUAUUCAUGCAUAGAAAAUAAAUUUCUUAGAUUUGUCUUUAUCACAACUUUCCAUCUUCAUUUAAAUGGGAUUCAAUAUAGAAAACUUGUUGCCAUAACAAAAGGCUCAUCUUGCAUGCAUCUGCGAGUAUAGUUAACAAAUGUGAAUCCAAACUCAUCCUCUUUUAUACCGUUUAGUCCAAAAACAUUGAACUAUUCACAUUUCAAUAACUCAUAGUUAAAUUUUCCAUAAUGUUGCUACACAAUAAUAUCUUCAAUAGCACCAUAGUAACCCUCUCGAUGAGAGGAACCUAGAGGUAUCUAUUGAAGCUAGGAGAGGUCCAAAUCCGUCUUGACAUAUCAGACAAAUCAACAGAUUUCAAGAACAUAAUACCCAUGGGGUAGUAUAUGAGAUAGUUUACCAAUCUUAUGUUUUUAUAUUUGUCUAUCCAAUUGCCAUCAUGCUACACCAUAAAUCUUUCUAGCCUAUUCUUAAGUGAUCACAAUAUUCUGUCACAACUUUGAUUGUAGAAUCAAGAAUGUUGCUUCACAAUUUAUGAUGAAAGAACAUUUUAUACCCUUGGCCUAGUGAUCGCAUCUGCCAUAAGCUGAAAAUGGAAACUGAAUGUACUAAAUGGAAUGCAUCCAUCAUAGAGCCAUCACCCUUCUGCACUGUCUGCCUGCUUGACAAUGUCUCUUGAAGUCAUUGUUGUGUGGAUCUUAGACUGAGCACCUGAAGCAAUAUAAGCAGGGAAAAAACUCUUCAUCAAGUCAGAUCCAGCAUUCUUCCUCUCACUAGGUACUCUACCACCAAGUCCACUACUACAGCAACGGAUCCUACUACAACCAUGUCCUCCUACAGCUGUACCUCUUGUUUUGAACUCUGAAGUGCCUUCAUGCAUGAUGCCUUUCCCUCUAUCUUGUGUGCUUCAUUAACCUGUUCUCAAGUUAAUAUGAACAUCCUCUUCUUCGAGAUCAAUUGUACCAUGUUCAUUUUCACUGUUAUUUUCCUAGAGAUCCCCAUAUCUUCUUUCGGCCUCAUCUGUUUCUUUUUCAAUCCUAUUUGCCUUCAUAGGGCCUUACACAGAGCAAUGACUUCAUGGUGCCACAUUAUGAUGCACCCUAAAAGUAUAUGGUACUUAAAACGAGAUAUUCCUCCUGAUAUUAUAUUUUGUCAGUAAUUACAUUUAAUUCUAGCCAAUCAAUCGAAGUCACCCUUGCACCCCAAUGCCAUGCAGAAUUAGAACUCAUAUCUUCAUAAAAUAACUAAAAACCAAUAGUAAACUUUAUAAAGUAAUAGAAAGCUAUGGUAAAAUCUCAAAAGAGAGAGACUUUUACCUUUCAUAGAUAAGAAAUGUAAAAGCCAGCAUGCUGAUAUGGUCUAUAUGCCUACAAAACAUGAAAACUAUGUAUCAUAGGUGUAGUGUAUAGGUCCUUGGGCUUAUACGCUAUGUAUUGUAUGGUACAUAUGACAUUGCUUUGAUCAAUUAUUGAAUUGGUGGACGCAAGGAUCUACUAGAGAUUCGCUCGGGAAAACUUAGGGUUUUCCAUCCUAAGUUACUUUAUAUCUUUAAACAAUAAAUCUUGCAAAGGUUACCUUGGCCUACAAAUGACUCCUCUAUUUUCUAAUUCGGAAACUGUAAUUUUCCAGUUUGUUACUGUUUUUUCCUUACGAAUCCUUCUUUGAUAAACAUGGCCUGAAAAUGUGCCAAAUUGGAUUUGUAUUUUUUGUCCAUUCUUGAUACUCAGGAUGAGGAUAUUUGCUUGCUUCUUAUAUAGCUGAAACAUACACCAGUUCCUUUCCUUCGAUUUUAUGAUUUGGAAAUUUUGAGAUGGUUUCAAAACCACUCUGAGUGAUCAACUUCAUGUGGAACCUGCAUAUAAGCCAGGUAGAUCAUCUUCUUGCACUAUGUAAACUCAAGCGAUGGCUGAAUCAGAGAACCCUAACUCGUGUGUGACCCUUUCCCCAACUCUUACAGUGAAGGCUGUUAUGAAAGAUCUAGAUCCAGCCCUCAAAAUCACAACAUCCCCUAUCAAUGGUGGAAACUACAUCAUUUGUGUGAGUCUACAAGUUUAUAUCUCUGCAAGAAGUCGAAGAUCAGGUAUUGCCGAAGGUUCCUUUUUCUAGAUUCAACCAAGGAUAUAUAAGACACGUUAGCAGAGAUAUACGAUGAAGACCAAAACCUGGUGGGAGUUUAUCUCCUUGAAUAUGACAUAGCCAAUUUCACAAAGGGAGAGAAGUUGUUUCAUGGAUACUUGAGUUCGCUCAAGGCCAUGUGGGAGAAAAGUUUGAUCACCUAAGAAAUGAUAUUCUCAUGUCUUACCCAUUUCCAUCGUUCAACAAUGUCUUUUCCAUUGUGUAAUGGGAGGAAACUAGACAAUGAGUCAUGAAAACUGAAGAUAAGCUCAAGAAGGAAUUUUCUCUCUUCUUAUGACAAGGUUGCCUUUGUUGUCAAGUCAGAAGCACCUACACCUUCGCAUGGAGACAAGAACUACUUUGUAGCAGACACUUGAUCCAGUUGUGGAAAAGGAUCAAUGUCUUGUACCUAUUGCAAGAAACGGGGACAUACCAGAGAAUGUUGUUGGAACCUAAAUGGUCAUCCAGGGAGAGGCAGAAGUUAGGCACGUGACUCUGGACAGCGAUGUGAAGAUGAUAUAGCUGAGAUUGCAAGCCUGCUCAAACAGAUCACUCUCACCAAUCUAGCCAUUGUUGUGGAACAAGAAGUAGAUAAGGGUUUGUUCAUUCAUAGCUUCCUUUAAUAACAUAUAGUGGAUCAUUGAUAGUGGUGCUGCAGACUACAUGACUGCAUGCUUAGAUCUCUUGUUGAUGUCAAAUAUGAUAAAAGAUUCAUGUUAAACUUCUCGAUGGAUCUAUUACCUCUGUAGUAGGCUAUGGUUCAGUUUAUAUAAAAAGUCCAUUACAUUAGAUAAUGUGUUGCAUAUGCCUAAACAUGAAAUGAACUUGAUAUUUGUGAAUAAACUGAGUAACGAUUUAAACUGCUACAUAUUGUUCACUGGAAAAAAGGUGAUACUAGUGGACAUCAAGUGUCAGACAAAGAUUGGUGAAUGCAGAGAAGAAAGCAACUUGUAUUACUUUACUCCAAAGAACAAUCCAAGAGUUCAUACUACAAUAAAGACAACAAAGGAUACUCGGGUGUGGCACUAGAGAGUAGGCCACCCUUCAAAUAAAGUCCUAAGGACUAUGUUUCCCAAUUCUCAAUUUGUUGUUUAUAAUUGUGAGGCAUGUACCUUGGGAAAGAUGACCAGGUUGUUUUUUACUGAUUCUGAACAUGUAGCUGAAUCAUGCUUUGACUUAAUAUAUAUUGAUGUUUGGGAGCUGUUUGCAUCCCAAAA